UACGAAGGGGGCUAGCGUUGUCCGGAAUCAUUGGGCGUAAAGAGCGUGUAGGCGGUCCGGUAAGUCCGUUGUGAAAGUCAGGGGCUCAACCCUUGAAUGCCGGCGGAUACUGUCGGGCUAGAGUCCGGAAGAGGCGAGUGGAAUUCCCGGUGUAGCGGUGAAAUGCGCAGAUAUCGGGAGGAACACCUAUGGCGAAGGCAGCUCGCUGGGACGGUACUGACGCUGAGACGCGAAAGCGUGGGGAGCAAACAGG
rnacentral:rRNA from 1 species